rnacentral:misc_RNA from 1 species
AACGCACCUUGCGCUCCUUGGUAUUCCGAGGAGCAUGCCUGUUUGAGUGUCAUUAAUAUAUCAACCUCUUCAGCUUUUGCUUGUUGAGUGUUGGAUGUGGGGGGCCUUUUUGCUGGUCUUUUCAAGAGGUCAGCUCCCCUAAAAUGUAUUAGCGGAACAAUUUGUUGACCGUUCAUUAGUGUGAUAAUUAUCUACGCUAUUGACGUGAGGCAGUUCAGCUUCUAACAGUCCAUUGACUUGGACAGUUUUUCAUUAAUGUGACCUCAAAUCAGGUAGGACUACCCGCUGAACUUAA